rnacentral:tRNA from 1 species
GGAGGGUAUAGCUCAGUGGUAGAGUGCAUGCUUAGCAUGUAUGAGGUCCUGGGUUCAAUCCCUAGCACCUCCA